rnacentral:lncRNA from 1 species
AUCAUUGUAAACUAAUUUUCUAUUGUCACAAAAUCCUUCACAAAUCCGUAGGAUGGAAUUUUUUUUCCAUAUAUAAAUGUGUCUAAGAUAUCUUUUACAUUGUGUGAAAUACAUUCAGAUAUAAUAUCUACUAUGUGGAGUAAUAAGUUCUACCAUCAUCUCAUGUUUUUCAUCAAUCAAGUUCACCAAAGAGGAACGCAUUCAGAUAGCAACCAAGGUUCUAAGAUCUCAUAUUGAGGCUCCUCAUAUGAUAGAAUUGGAUUUUGAAGAUAUUGGUCAGAAUGUAUUUCCUGUGGAAGUUGAUAAUCCAUAUCUAUAUUGUAUGGAUAGUAUUGUGGAAUUGGAGGAAGAUCUUGAUCAAAAAACAUAUUAGAUGAUAGAUCUGGAUUUUGAAGAUAUUGGUCAGAAAACAUUUCUUGUGGAAGUUGAUAAUCCAUGUCUAGAUUGUAUGGAGGAAGAUCUUGAUCAAAAAACAUAUUANN